UUUAAGGAGUGCCGGGCCUUAUUUUUUUCUUCUCUCUCUUUACAUGUGUACAUAAAUGCAAUGAAAACCUUGUUCACGAUUAGGCAUCUACCAAACUCACUGUGAGUUACUCACUCCACCUACUAACAAGUGUUACAAUAUUGCAAAUAAUUUAGCAUUUAUCCAUUUAUACAACAUCCAAGUUCCUUGUAUCUCAUACUUUUUUGGCAAUGAAAAGUGGUACCAGAGUAAGAAAAUCCAUAACAGUAGCAGUUCUUCCUGUGGCCUUCCUAUUUCUGCUUUCUUUUGUAGCUUGUACAGGACCAUUGAGGUGGAUUCUUCUAUCAAGCUAUCUCAUCUACUACCUAUCUUUGUCUCUCUGGAUUUUGGCUGCAUUGCAUACUACAUGACAUUCAAUCCAUAUACCAUAAUGUAGGAACCAAAAUGAGGGAUUUUCCAUCAUUUAGUGUCUCUAUUUACUUGGUUUUGUUAUCGAGCUAUCGAUCUCUUACUUGUUUGUUUUCCUUUCACCUCUUUGAAAGAAUCAACAAUUUCGUUGUGUACUGAAGCAUAAAGAGGAUAAUGUGUUAUAUGCAUCUCCAUAUCACACCUACUCAUUUGGUUGGGUUUUCAUGUAGUAUUGAGUAAGUUCAAGUUGAAGUGGCCGAGUUUUGUUUCA